GACAGGAGUGUCACUCCGGAAGCCUUUAUUUUGAUGUUGUUUUGUAUAUCCUGCAUUAAAACCUAGAGAGAGAGGAACCUAGAGAGUUCCAGAGAGGAAUAGGUCUACGUCUGAGGUCUGUUUGAGUAAGGACUAAGGCAGGAAUCUGAGAUUUGGACUGCCAUGAAGGGAAAAGAGUACCAGCACUGAGAAAAUUAUAGAAGCACAGGACAGCUGAGGCUGGCAGGGCCCUCUGGGUCCCUCUGCUCCAACCCCUGACCCAGCAGGGACACCCAGAGCAGGGUGCCCAGGGCCACGUCCAGGUGGCUCUGGGAGAUCCCCAAGGAGGCAGAUUCCAUAAAUAAGCAUUACUGCACUAACUGUGUUGGUGUCCAUGUGUUUUAUAUUUAUCUGGUAUUUGGGGCAGGUGAGUACCCCGGGUGUCACACGAAAUCUCCCCACCACCAGUCAGAUGCAAUCCCCAUGCAUCACUCACAACACCAUUGGGCAGAGAUGUUCCCAGAUGUGGACAGGGACCACCUUCCCCAAAGCCACGUUUAGCAACCCCCAGGGGCACAGUAGUAUUAAAAAUACUAUUGCACACAAGAAUGUGGGAGAGCCCUGAGAGAGCAGAACUGUAACCAUGGGUGCAUUACUAACGCCUCACUCCUACACAGGCCAGAUCUUACUCAGCAAACACGGUAUUCACACAGGCAGCUCACUCAACAAAGCUGGAAAAAGCUCUUACAGCUACGAGAAGAUUUCUAUGGAAGAAAAAAAGAAGUUCACUGCCACUGCCAACGUGAGAUGCAUAUUUUGCUGAGUAUGACUAUGGCUGACAAAGUUUCCACCCCAAGUACAGUGCAGUGGAGACAGGCCUCACAGGUUUGUGUUUGACGUCUUGCUGUACAAAACCCGUGUACUUGUACAGCUCAGCUUGUGCUGCAUCAGCUUUGACUUUCAAAGCCAGAUUUCUACGUGUCUUCACCUUUGAAUAUUUUUAAUGCAUCUACUUCACUGAAUGGGAGAAAUAUCAUCAAUAUCUGUGUCUCAAGAGGUCUCCUCCAGAUCAUGCGUGAGACGUGGCUCUCAAGGCACUGUGUGGGGAAAGGUUCCACCACAUUUAAUCCCCUGGAGUACUUCUUCACGCAAGUCAGUGAGAGUAAAUCCAGUGCAAAAUGAGCAGAGGAGGCAGAAAUGAGUCUGCAGGCAAAACCCCAGUGAGUCAAAGCAUCGCUCAGCGACGACAUCAAAUUGUGCUGGUAGAGGUGAGGCAGCACAAAUGCCGUGAGGAAGGUUGGGGCUCGUUAGUGUCUGUGAGGGUUUCUUUCAGACAUGAGCACAGUCUGAAAUCUGAAGUCCAUAAAAACCUUUCAGUCACUCUGGAUUUGGCUCUAAGAGAGAAGAGAAGGUUCUGGCGUUGAGUUUGAACAUACCAGAGCAACUCAAGCCAUUGAACUGGUGGCAAUGUCACAGUGGAAAGAAAAAGGAAGCAGAACUGAAGAAACUUCUGAGAAAUGUAAAAACCAGUUAACUGGACAGGAAUUGAACAAGUCAUCAAGCAUUAUGGGAAGAGGCUGGUUCCUAAAGGUAUGUCCCAUGCAGCCUUUCUGUUUAUAAAGUUUGUAUCAGCACUCCAGUAAUCACACCUGGGCAUUCAGGGCUGGAACUAGAUGAUCUUUGAGGUCCCUUCCAACCCAAGUCGUUCUAUGAUCCAUGUCAUUCUAUAAGGAUUAGGCUACUGGACAAGAGAAAACAUAUACUUUAACACUGUCUGCAAAUGAAAGACGUCAUGGACUUAAGAAACUGCACAUCUUUGUUACAUAACAAUACAACUAAAAACAAAUAAUGUAUUACUUCAUAUGGCCAUCUACUGAAUUUCAUAUCAAGACUAAUUUCAUGUCCAAAAUCACUAGCCUUCGCCUGCUAUCAGAUAGACAAAAGAGAAAUUAGCACUCUCUUUUUCAUGUUUCAGAACAAAAGCACAAGCUUUGAAGCGCUGCCUUUGUGAAAGAAACAGUUGUGGCCUGCUAAAACAAGCUUGUGGUAAUGAAAAGGUUAACUAAUUUGGUUUCCCUGAUAAGUUUAUCUAUGAUCAGAACUGAGUCAUACAGAAAAUACUCCUACAAGAUUUGACCUUUUACUUGUAUCCCACACUGAGAUAAUAUUAUACUUAAAAUGGAUAUCAAUAAGAACUUUGUUUUAAAAACUAUAUUUAAAAUAAAUUACUUUUAAAUAACAGAAACUGUUUUCAAUUAGCCCUGUUAAAGGAAAUCAACUAGAAAGUUAUGUAUGCUUUUUUAUUUUCUUUAUAUAAAUUAUACCCAGGAGUCCUAUGAUAGCAGCACUAUACAAACUAUGCACUACCUUUAUAUUUAUUUCUUAUCAAAAUAAACUUAACAAAUUAGAUUUGUUUUUACAGCACUUUAUAUCCAAUAAUGACAAUGUUGUAUUGGUCCCAGGAUAAAAACAAUGAAAGUAGCAGCUGAAUGGUAUUUUUAUUAAGAGUUAACAAAAAUGUCCUGUGCAAACACAGGGUAUAAAGAAAAUUAAUUCCAUAAUUCCUUAUGAUGAAGGCGUCCCUCCCUCUUCCCUUUUUUUCUCACAAUAUCAAUCUCAUUUGGAAAGAUCGUUUUAAGGGGAAAACUUUAAGUUUUAGCAUGACUUACUCAGCAAAAUGAUAUAGCUGAACUUAAACACUGCUGACUGCUACGAUUUAAUAUUAGGACCUGGCAAAUGCUUUGAUAACUUAAUACUUUUUAAAAGAAAACUUGUUUGUUACCGAAGAUUUUGGGAGCUCAGAAGAAAUACAAUCUGAAAAAAUAACAGAGCUAAAGAUCCAAAGAGAGGUUUCUUCUUUUUCCCAUUUUUUCCAUUUCCUUUACCUUGAGCUGGUUCCUCCAUGUGAGCACAUUCAGAGGCCUUUUACUGGUGGCAGAUUCAAAUAUCUCUGAGAUACUCACCGUACAAACUCAGCAAGAGUCCACGUUUUCCUCCAGCAGUGGAAAAAUGGCAGGGCUAAUAGUCUGGGCUUUGUUACUAAAAAUGAGUCCUUAAACUAAAAAAAAAAUAAAAUAAAAUAAAAAUUAAAACAUUGUUUAGAACAUGUGGUUUGCUGCUAUUAAGCUAACAGUGGAAAAUCUCAUUACUUUUAAUUUUAUUUUGUAGUGGGAUUGUUUUGUAGACUGAGGCGAAUUUUCUCUUAAGCAGAGCCUCCCCUCCUACCUUGCAGCAUUCUACUCUGCAGGCAGCUCUUUGCACGGCUCGCCUCGGUGUUUCAGGUCAAAGUGCUGAAUUAAAAAAAGAAAACAGAUCUUUCCCCAUGUGUGCCUCUCGCGUGCCAGCCUCUCCAGCUCUUGCUCUGACAGAGGAGUGUUCCACCCUGGGCUGGGGGUGUUCUCCAUGCAGUGCUAGGAACGUAUCUGCUCCGACUGAAAGCUCCACAGGGGCAAAUAAGGCGUCAGAUAGAUCCUGAUGUCACCUCUAUGCAGGAAGCCCUGUGAAGAAGCAAGAUGGGUGGGUGGAAUUUGGAUUCUGGAGCUCAAAGUGGCCAGAGUAGAAAAGAGAAGAUUGUAAAGGUUUCUGCAUUGGAUUUCUUGCCAAAGUUUGGAAGCCUCUCAUCUGACUUCUGACUUCGGAUUGAGGCUACAAUGAUUUACAAGAACAGAGGACCAAAUGUGCAAUUUGAAGUGAAAAUAUUGCCAAGGCAGAAGCCUUGCUCAGAGCUUAAAAGCUUCUAUAUACACACAUAUGUAUAUCCGACUUACUGUGACUCAAAUCUGAAACUCUUAUGGUUUAAAAUACCAAGUGAGAUUCAGGGUCACAUAAUAUUUGCUUUCCGUCAACAGCCCAGUGGAUUUCCCUGUAACAUAUGCUUGCACAUGACAAGGCUCACUCUUGUGCAGAGGUGAGCCAUUAUAUUGUAAAUUCCACUUGCAAUACAAUCCUUAUGUAACCCAGAUAUCCUUAUAUUUUCAAGUUCAGCCAUUCCCCUGGCACUCAGCACUUUUCCAGGUCCUGGUUCGUCAUGAGAAUUUGACAUCUGCUUCCUGAAUAAAAAAAAUAUACGCACAUCAGAUCACUGAUGAUCAGAUACUAUAUUUCUUUUGAACAUCUCUCUAGUCCUCAGUUCUUAACAAAGCUGCCAGAGGCUGAGCUCUACAUCCAGAUGAUGACUCACCCAGCCUCACUGCUGCCAGGGCCUCGCUUUUCCAUCAGCGGUCAUUCUGGGAGCUCAGGAGGCUUCCAGUAUGGGACAUCCUGACUGGUAAGGAAUCACGGGUGAACUGUCCAUCCUGUCACACCGAGCAGAAAGUUUGCUACUGAUUUCAAAGAACUGAGAUUUUUACCCACAGGAAAUCAAGCACGUAUAAAGAUCACCGCCCAGCUCUUCAGCAGCCCUCCAUCCAGAGGAUGAGUCAUCUGCCAGCAGAACAGAAGGGCACUGGUGGGAGCUCUAUUCCAAAGAGCAUGCAAAGAAUUAGAGGAAC
ensembl:lncRNA